UCCAGAUUUACUUUAGUCAAGUUUUUUACAGUUUUAUCCCAGGUCCAGAUUUCCCAAAUUUACUUUAAUUUAGUUUUUCAUAGUUUUUCCCAGAUCUAGAAUCCAGCUUUACUUUAAUCUAGUUUUCCAGAUCUAGAUAUGCUUUAAUUCAGAUUUUUUUCAGAUACAGAUGUGCUUUAAUCCAGAUUUUCCAAGAUCCAUAUUUCAUAGAUUUACUUUAAUCCAAUUUCUCACAUUUUUAUCCUAGAUCUAGAUUUUCUAGAUUUACUUUAUUCCAAUUUUCACAGAUUUCCUAGAUCUAGAUUUGCUUUAGUCCAAUUUUUCACAGAUAUCCCAAAUCCAGAUUUCUCAGAUUUUCUUUAAUUCAGUUUUUCGCAGAUUUCCCAAAUCCAGAUUUCAUAGAUUUACUUUAUUCCAGUUUUCAUAGAUUUUUCCCAGAUCCAUAUUUACUUUUAGUCAAGUUUUUCACAGAUAUCCUAGAUCCAGAUUCCCCAGAUUUUCUUUAAUUCAGUUUUUUGUAGAUUAUCCUAGAUUUCACAGAUAUCCCAAAUCCAGAUUUCCUAGAUUUACUAAAUUCCAGUUUUCGCGUAUUUUUCCCAGAUCCAGAUUUACUUUAGUCCAGUUUUUCAUAGAUUUACCAGAUCUAGAUUUUUGAGAUUUACUUUAAUACAGUUUUCACAUAUUUAUCCAAAUACAAUUUUUUCGUAAGCUUACCCAGAUCUAGAUUUCGUAGAUUUACUUUAACCCAGAUUUUUCCAUUUCCAAAUUUCGUAUAUUUACUUUUAUCCAGAUUUCGCAUAUUUAUCUAGAUGCAAUUCUUUUUGUAGGUUUACUCAAAUCUAGUUUCACAGACAUAUCCCUGAUUCCGUAAGGAGGGGUCUUUUCUCCAAAUAUUUUUCCUAUUAUAAAUCGUUUUCUUUUAGGGCAAAUGUAACUUGAUUCUGAUGGUUCUUGAUACUUAGGGAAGGUCGCUUUGCCAAGAAUUCCCCUUCUUCUUUACCUUCCCUUACUAUAAUUCUCCUUCCUCGUCUUGCCCUUCUUCUAAGCUUGUCAUUCGAAAAAUCUCUGUGUGCUUCUUUUGUCUUUGUUGUUUCAUAGUUUCUUACCUCACAACAAAGAGGGGCAGUUGUCAACAUCUGAUUUUUGCUUAGUUCGCUGCCUGAACUUCCAAUUCACCCCAAACACCCAAUAAGACUCUUCCGACCUCUCCAAAACACCCAAAAACCUAGAAAACCCAAAUUUCACCCCGAGAGCCCUCAAAUACACCGUUAAACCUACUUGAUACCUAUCCGAUGGCCCCGAUCGACCCUCACUUACACCUCAACCAUUAAAUCAGACACGACCAUCAGACCCGGAACAUCCCAAAGCACCUACCCAUUAAAUUUGAACUCAAGAUUCCUUCGUUCACCCGUCCAUCAAGCAAAGAUUUCAUUUUGACCAUUCUCACACCCACAACCCAUCUUCGCUUGAUCCAAACACAUCUAAACCAAUCAAACUUUCCCAACCACUCCAGAAUACCCAAAAACCCCUCCAUAUGAAAUUCCAGCCCAAAACACCUUCAUUUACCCUAAAUUACACAAAGAUUCCAUUUUAAAGCUCAUUCCAAAUCUGCUCCGUUUGGGCCCAGUUGCCUCAAUUUUAUUUUACCAGUCAUCUCAAACCAAAAAUCCCUCCCAUAGAAAUUUCACCCAAAACUAUCUUUAUUUUCUCCUUCAUCACACAAAUAUUCUAUUUCGAGCCCUCAAAUUAAUCAUAUCGAUUCCUUUCCACAUCUACCCCAAUCCAAGCCUGUCCGGACCAAUUUGACCCCACCAGCUGACUUAGAAUGUCUAAAAGCCCCACCCCAUGAAAUUUCAAUCAAUACCCCUAUUUGCCUCUUCAUCCAAAAAGAUUAUAUAUCUAUCAAUCCUAUUAGCCCACACACACAAACCCACUCUCCCCACACACACAAACCCACUCAUCUCAACUUUCUAUCUUUUGACCCGAGACCACCCAUCAUUGAACCAAGAACCCGGUUUGACCCUCUUAGACCCAGUUUAACCUAGCCUUCUAAAAAUUACCAAAAUACCCCAUUUGACUCAAAAUUAUGAAAAUGCCCCGCUUCCCAUAUAAAUUCAACGUAAACUCUUCAUUCGCCUUAAUCGGGAAGAAUCGAAGAGUUAACUGUUCAUCUUCUUCUCUACUCGAACCAGUGGCGGAGCAGAGAAGAACAUCUUCCUUCUGCGAUUUUGCCGAGCCCCUUCCCUUAUUCUCUCUCCUCUCUCAGUCUUUUUUUUUCAUCCUCUCCUUUGUCCUUCUCACCUUCCGCCAGAACCAGUAACACAGUGGCGGUGAGACGGAAUCUCUACCACCACCGACUCUCCCCUAUUCUCUUCCUCUAGUUCUAUUUGUUUUGAAAAGCAUAGUUUUCUCCAUCGCUAGUUCCUGUUGUCGUCUAUCCCACCUUCAACGCAGAACAAAGGAGUUGUAUAGCUAACUCCUGCUUGGAACGAACACUCCUGUGCAGCAUCGGUGCCUGAUUAUGCCAGACAAUCCGGGACUCUGUGAGAUCCUGAAGUGGACCAACCUUAUUCCUACUGAAGUUCGGCCAACCUUUGUAGUAGCCGGCGACGUCCUGGGAAUCAGCGCAGUCAGGUAAUCCCCCAAUCAGAUUUCUGCCUCUCUAUUUUAGUUUAUUUUAUCCUUUCUCUUUUUACUUUUAUAUAUUUGUGAACCAGGGAUGAGAAAGGGAAAGAAUCGAUUUUCUAUGAGUUCCCAUACUCUGCCUAAUCCUACUAGUUUUUCUUAGUUUCAGUUCGGUUUCUAUGUUACAUUUCUUCUUUGAGUUGGAUUUUUUUUACUAAAGAUGAACGCCUGGGGGUAUAUUGUUCUUCUUUCAGAUAGUUUGUAGUUCAUGCAAAGUGAUGGCCGUCGGAUAGAAAGUUUAGUCGGUUCCGUUCCUAUUCUUUCUUAGAUUUUCUCUGAUACAUUUACCGAACUGUAACAAUAGGUCUUUGUCUUUUCCUUUGUCGUUAUUUUUCUAAUGCAUCUAACUAAACUAUAUUAGUUCGGCCUCUGAUAUGUUUUGUUAAUCAGUUUUCAAUCCGGUAUUGUUUCAGAAUUUAUCAUUUCUUUAGAUAGCUUUUAAUUCCGUUUAUUAUCUGAUGCAUCUCACUAAACUGUGUUGGUUCGAUUUCUGAUAUGUUUUGUUAAUCAGUUUUCAAUUCGGCAUUAUUUCAGAAUUUCUCAUUUCUUCAAAUAGCUUUUAACUCCGUUAAUUCCCUUACGUAUCUCACUAAACUAUUAGUUCAGCUUCUGAUAUGUUUUGUUAAUCAAUUUUCAAUUCGGUAUUAUUUCAGAAUUUGGAAUUUCUUCAGAUAGCUUUUAAUUCCACCAUCCCGAACAACGAAUUUAGCUAGUUUUGAUGCAUUUUAUCAAGUAGUUUUUUUAUUCUACUUUGCUUCUACCGAAUAUCAUUAGUAUAAGUGUUUACUUCUAGUUAUGAUGCUUUGAGUUUCAUCUUUGUUGUUUAUUUAUUGUUACAUGCUCUUUCCAGAUUUUGUUGUAUCAAGUCGUGCUCUCUUUGUUGUGAUGACCGGUUGAUGCUUCUUUUAGGUUCAUUUAAGUUUAGUAAUAUGUUUUAAAUCUUUAAUGAAUUCAGGUUGUUAGUCUUUUAGUAUGCAGAUAUUUGUUGUCAGCAUCCCAUGUGGGCCCCAUCAACUCCAAUUUCAUGUUUAAUGGGUGGCAACUCCAUUCUCAGCCCAAGUGGCAAGUGAGCUCGGUUUUUCCGACGCUCACAGCACAUAUGCCUUGGUUUGAAUUUUGCAAUUCCAUAACUAAGAAUGAUUGUCUUGUUCUCAUAAUGCAGUGACGGAUUUCUUUUUCUUUUUAUUCCCCACUUUGAAAAUAACAUUAUGAUUUAAAUGGCUUCAUCCAUUUUAGCAGAUUCCCUACAACACUGCUUGAAUGUAUAGAUUAGCUAAAGUGACCAUCAUAAUCAUAAUUCUUGUUACCAAAAGAGAGACCAAUUCGAAAGAUUAUCUUUACCAUAUUUUUUUUCCUUGAUAGAAUAAAAACAAAAACCGAACACAUUAUGUUCUCAGAAUUCAUUAGUUUUUUUGAACAAGCCUUAUUCCACUUAUUUCUUUCUUCACCCCAUCAAACCUAUGGCUUCUCAGGUCUCUUAUAUGAUUGCAAUUGGCAACCAUGAAAGAGACUUUGAAAGCUCUGGAUCAAUAUACAAAACACCAAACUCUGGUGGAGAAUGUGGAGUUCCUUAUGAGACAUAUUUCCCAUGUCCACUAUUGGAAAGGACAAACCAUGGUACUCAAUAGAAAAAGGGAGUGUUCAUUUUAUUAUAAUUUUAACUGGGAAUGAUUAGUUUGUUAAUUCUGAGCAGGUAAAAAUGAGUUUACUCCUUGGUUCUGUUUU